rnacentral:lncRNA from 1 species
CCUGGGGCCAGCCCUGGCUCGUCUGGCUAGUUGACUCACUCCCCAAACUUUUCCUUCUUUCUAGCUUCGUUGUAAUGUAGCUGACGUACAAGUGGCGGGAACUGAAGAUGUGUGUUGGUGUUGAGCUCAUACUGUGAGAGGAUUACCACCGGAGCUCCUUCCUCUGUCCUGUCACCCCAUCACCAAUUCUUUCUUGUGGGCCUGGAGAAUGGUGUGUCUCCAUAAAUACCCUUGAGGAACAUCUGAUUCUCCUGCAGGCUACUCCUGGAUCUUCCAGGACACACACAAACCAUCUACUAAUACCUGCAGGAAGGUAAAAGAAGAUAGAAUGUCUCUGUCUAUGGGUUUCCUACAGCAGCUCUGCUCCCAGGAUUGAGGGUCAAGUCGAAAC